rnacentral:tRNA from 1 species
AAAGAAUUAGUUAAAAAAUAACAUUAAAUUGUCAUUUUAAAAUUAUUAAUAUUAAUAUUUUUUC